GCGGGAGCCUGGCUCCUCAGCCGCGUGGGCGUCAAGAUCCGGGUCCUCCUGCCGGCGGCCGUUCGCUUCCGGCGGCCGCUUUCCCGCCACCGCCGCCGCGGCCCCGGGCCUGGGCGAGCCUGACUCCUCCACCGCGGUGCGGGGGAUGGAAGGAGCCGGAGAGGAGGUGCAGACGGUUCGUGAAUGUGUUGUUUUCUGUGCGGCCAAGAGAACACAACAAGCAUUUUGUGCAGUGAUGACCGAAUUUCCCUGUGGCCAGCCUACUGUGUGGAGCCUGCAUGAAAAGAGCCCCAGCCUGCACCCCUAGCCUGGAGCAGCAGGAACAACCCAAGCCUUGGACUCAAUGGAGUUGGUGGUCAUCCCUUUCCACCCGAAGCAGCUGUGUGGCCUUCGGAAAACCCCAUCCCUUCUCUGGCCUCAGUUCCCCUCUGUUGAAUGUGAAUGAGAAAUGGUCAGUGUUUCUGUCCCUGGCUGUACGGCAGACACACUGGGGUACUUUAAGAAAUACUGACACAACUACCUCAGAACCUCUGGGGGCAUUUUCCUUCACCUCGAGUGGGUUUUUUUUUUUUAACUCUUUACUUUGAAAUAACCCUAGAUUCACAGGAAGUUCCAAGGUAAAAUGUAUGGGGAGGUCUCCUGAACCCUCCCACAGCCUCCCCCAGUGAUGACAUCUUGCACAACUAUAGCACACCACCCACCUAGGAAGCUGACACUGGUCCAGCCCACUGAGCUUCUUCAAAUGUCACUAGUCACCCAAGCACACGUGCGCGCAUCCAUGUCUCUGUGUAGUUUUAUCACAUCUGUACCUUUGCGUAGUGACAGAGCUGAUCCAUCACCAGGCUCUCUCAUGCCACCCCUCCCUCUACAGCCACACCCCUCCCUACCCCAGUCCCUCACCCCUGACAACUACCAAUCUGUUCCCCGGCUCCAUAAUUUUGUCAUUUCAAGAAUGUUAUAGAAACGGAAUUGUACACUAUGUAAGUUUUUAAGAUCGCCUUUUUUCACUCAUCAUAAUUCCUGGAAGUUCCUCCGAGUUGUUGCAUGCAUCAGCAGUUCUUUCCUUUUUACGGCUGGUACGGAUAUACCAUAGCUUGUUUAUCCAUU
rnacentral:lncRNA from 1 species